GAUGAAGAACGCAGCGAAAUGCGAUACGUAAUGUGAAUUGCAGAAUUCAGUGAAUCAUCGAGUCUUUGAACGCACAUUGCGCCCCCUGGUAUUCCGGGGGGCAUGCCUGUCCGAGCGUCAUUGCUGCCCUCAAGCACGGCUUGUGUGUUGGGCCUCCGUCCUCCUCCCGGGGGACGGGCCCGAAAGGCAGCGGCGGCACCGCGUCCGGUCCUCGAGCGUAUGGGGCUUCGUCACCCGCUCUUGUAGGCCCGGCCGGCGCUUGCCGACACAUCAAUAAGCGGAGGA
rnacentral:misc_RNA from 1 species